rnacentral:lncRNA from 1 species
UCACUCUUAUGGUCGGCCAAGCAAGGGAACAAAGAGAAAAAGAGAAGAACAAACCCUAGGAAGGAAAAAUUCAAGAGAAAUUGUUGGAUUUCAAGGAAUCAAGCAAGUAAAGGUAAGAUUUUUUAAUUUUAGCUUGUGAUCUACCUUUCCCAUGCAUUCUUUUCCAUUCUCCAUGGCUGAAAUUCAAGUUUUCAAGAGGGAACCUUUACUGGCCAAACCUAGAGCGAGAAGUUUUGGUGAUGACUUUUGCUAGAUUUCAUAAUAUCCUAGUGUUUUUAGUCAUUUUGUGAUGUUUGGAAGGAAAAACAAUCAAGAAAAUCACAUGUUCUUCAACCACCCUCACUUGGCCGAAUUUUCUAUAGGGCAUGUUGAUGAUGGAUUUGGUUGUAAUUCAUGUUAUUUAGCUAGGAAUUGAUGAAUUAUGAUGUUGGAUAUCGAAACUGGUUAUUGAAAAGUAUAGUUCCUUUAGAAAAUGGCUUGAUGGAAACUAAAAAAACAUAGUAAAUGGACUUGGAUUUGAUUCCUAAUGAUAUAUAUGGAUUUACGAGAUUGUGUAGACAUUGAUUAGUAUGUGAGUUCGAAAUGAGAAUGAAUUUUGAAAAGUGGUGAAGUUAGUCAAAAAUCAAGUUCAUUGUAAUGCUUUGGUGUAUUAGUUUAUUGGGAGUGUAAUGAAUAUAUUUGGAGUUGAAUAAGAUGUUUUGGUUAAAUCAAUGCUGUAUAGUUCAAAUUAGGUCGAAUACAAAUUCAUUCCGAUCACAAUUGAACCUACGUAGAACACCAUCUUUAAGUGACUAUCCAAACAUUUCUCAUUUAACUUCAUGCAUUCAUAUAGAGUCUGAAAUAGUUUUAUAACAAUUUGACACCAAUAUAUUGAAUUACGUGUAGUGUAUUAUGUAUAGGUGGUGAGCCCUCUAGUAAGGGUAAGGAUAUAGUACCCGAGGAUCAAGAAUAAGAGUAUUCCAUACUCCCGUUAUUGUGAGUAAUUAGACUUUCAUCUUAACUAUCUAAAGUAGUUUAUACUCGUUUUUAUGUUUUAAAGAAAAAUGAAUUUAAAUUGCAAACUAUUAUGUUUUAUAAUUGAAGUGUUGAUUAAACAAAAUGAGAUUUAUAACUUGUUUUGAAAUUGAAUACUAGUUUUGGAAAUUGAGUAAGUGGGGACUGUAUAUUUGUGUUAUAUAUAUGUUUUGACAUAUGGUUUGAAUUGAUGGCUUAUGACAACGUGAUGGUAAGCAUGGUUGGAUUUGUGUUUGUGUGGAAUAUGUGAACUGUUUUGCUUUGCCUUGACAGGUUGGUAAUAUUAUAUUGGCCAUGUCAUGUUGUCGGAAAUUUUAUUGAAUUGGUGGGUUAUUUGAUUAGCUUACUACAGUGGGUGGGUUUUCGUGGACCAACCUAUUGAAGGGGCACGGUAAACUCGGUUAUAUUUUACCUUGGUACGAAAGGCGCGAAGGGUAUCUCCUAAGGUAACAUUAGAGUUCACUUCACGCUAAACCACCAUGUGAAGGUGAAACUCAACCAACACCAAGGAACGACUGUGUUUUAAACGUAAGAACUUGUUUUAUGUGCAUAUGUUAUUUUAACAACCUUGGCGGACUCGGCUGGAUGCCCUCGGCCAAGGUGUCACCGAGUAUGAGUUUUAGGCAUGAGCCAAGUUUUUAAGAGAGUCAUAAGCCUUGUUGAUUAUUUUUGAUGAAAUUUAAUUGAUUUAUAUGGGUUGAAAUAAGAUUUGAUAUUAUGAAUCAUAUUAUACUGAGAUGUUUUAAAUUGUCUCCAUUUACUCGGCUUUAGAUGUUAUAGAUGAAAUUUGCUUACUCACUAGGUUUAUAAGAACUCACCCCUUCUUUUUUACCCAAUUCAGGCUCAAGAUAGUCUGUAGAUAGCCGAUUUUGUCAAGGUUUGCUUUUGGAUUUGCAUCCUUAAAAAUCAAAGGUCUACAAUCUUGUAUGUUUUCGAUUAUUUUGGGGUCCACAUGUCAUUGUAGAAUAUUUUUGUAUACUUGGUUUAGUGUGCUAUUAUAUAUAUAAAUUUAUUUUGCUCUUACGCUACAAAAAUUGUUUAUGCAAGAUUCUAUAAAUAUUAUUUUAUAAAUAAAUGAAAUAUUUUUAUUUAAUAUUUUUAUUUAGUUUGAUUAGCCAUAAUUUCACUUCAAAUGGAUGAUUUAGAUAACUAAACUUAUUUUUAGAUAUGAAAUGUAUAUUUUUCAUUUAUAUAUUAUAUUUUUAACAAGUUUCAAAAUUUUUGGGUAAAAUGACCAAAAUACCCCUGUGUAGUAGAAAUUACUUUUUGAUUGUUUUGAUUUGAAAAUUUUCUAUAUUCUUUCAAAACAUGAUAUUUAGUAACUGUUGCUCACAAGGGAGACGUAACAAUGAUGUAAAAGCCUUGCGAGGUUUCGGUUGACAUUCUGGGUAAUGAAUGUCUAUUGAGACAUCGCGACGGUUGUCACAGGCUCUAAAAGAGUACCAGGUCGUGACAUAAAUGGUUUUUUGGAAGUGAACUGGGGCAAAGUGAGACACUUUGGGACCCAAGGAGACAAGUGAGAAAUUUUAGAGUAAAAUAAUAUUUUAUUAAUAAAAUAAUAUUAAAAUAUUAAUAUUUUAUCUGUUGUUGAAAUUAGUCAUGAAGGAAGACUAUAUGGCUAAUCUAAGUAGGGGAAAAAAAUAAGGAAGAAUUUUGAAUAAAAAUGAUGUUAGUGGGGCCUAAGUAGGGGAAAAAAAUAAGGAAGAAUUUUGAAUAAAAAUGAUGUUAAUGGGGCCUACGUACCUUAAAUAAAACAAGAGAGGGUAAGUAUAUAUUUAAAUAUUAUGGUGACACCUUGGUGAAGUAUGAAUUUGAUAUUUUAUGUGUACACGUGUAAAGGAUGAAAAAUAAAAGGAAAUUGGAAUUAAAAAAAUGUUUGAACGACCAAAUUGUAAAGGAUGAAAAGUUUGGAGGGUUAAAUGGUAAAUAAAAAAAAACUUGAGGACUUAUGUGCAAGUCCAACAUUUUAAGUUAAAUGAAAAUUAACUAACCAAGGAAAAUUAGAUUAUGUGGGAGGAUGGAAUAUGCAUGUAACAAAUACUAUUACAUGCAAAGAUAUGCAUGCAAGGAUGUACUUGUAGUGGGGAACAUGUGAGACCCCCACCAUGUGACAAACAAAAAAGCAUAAGACAAAAUGAAUAAGACAACACAUGCAUGUGGAUUUUUAAACUAAAAGAAUGCAUGGAAAAUUUAUGCAUGAUGGACACUUGGUGACAAUUAGACUAAAAGAAGAGAAAAUAGUUACAUGUAAUGUCAUUGGCCAAGGAGGAGGCUAUAUGAAAAUUAAGGUGGGAAAGUUGCAUGAAAGACCAUUGGACACAAAUAAGGUGGGAUUUAAGUGUAAAUGAAUUAAAGAAUGGAAGGAUAAUGAAUGGUGGAUAUUUAACCAAAAAAAUGCAGAGAAUAUUGGUGCAUGAAGAACCAUUGAGUGGCAAGGUGGUUUAAUAAGAAACUAAAGAAGAAAAACUAAGAAAUAAUAAAAAGAAAAGGGAAAAAGGCAGUGAAGGCUUUAGGAACUUGGGCAAACUGUGUCUUUGAGAGAAAAAGAAAGGAAAGAAAUGGCUUUGUAAGUUCCACCCACAUGGUAGAGAGAAAAGAGAAGAAAGGAUAGAGUUAAAGGGAAGCUCGAUUUUGAAGAAAACCUAAGGCAACUAUGAAGAUUUCCUUCCUUUUGCCUUGUUGAGAUUUGAUAUUUCACCAUCCAAAAGAGAUUUGAAACUUGGAAGAGGAUGUGUGGCUAUGUUUUGUGAUUCAAGUAAGGAAAAGGUAAGAAAAUGGCUUUAGUUUGAAUGUAUCCUUGGAAAUUCAGAUUGGUAACGUUAGGUUGUGUUUGUGGCAGCAAAGAAAAGCUUGAUUAGAGAGGAUUUAGUGAUAUGCAAGCAAUCAAACUCUUGGAUGCAUGAUGGAUUCAAAGUGAAAGAGAAAAGGUAAGCAUGGUAUUGUGUUUUAAGGCCUAUGGUCGGUAAAAUUGCUAAUAAAAUAAUUUAUGAAUAAUGUUGGUAGCUUGGUGAUUGGAACUUGGAAGAAUAUUGAAAUGCAUGUGAGGCUAAAGCAACCUCAAAGGUAAAAAUGAAUAAUGCUUUAAGUGUAGUUGGAAGAUUUUGAGAAAAUGGCCAUUGUUGUGUUGAUUGAAAACUUGAAAGACACAUUGUGAGGAAUGAUGAUUGUUGAAAAGAUCUAAAAAUGCAUGAGCUAGUUAGAAAUGCUAAGGUUGCUUGUUAUGUUAUUUGAAAGAAACAAGGAUGAAUAAUGUGGAUGGACGAUUAAGAAAUAAAGCAUUGAAAGUUAGAUAGACAAUUGUGCAUAUAAGCUUAGAAAUUUCUUGGUGAAAUCGGAUUUAUAGUUGCUGCCAUAUAUGUGAUUAAUAGUAUGAAAAUAAUUGUUUGAACAUGGCAAAUGUUAUUAGAAGAUUGACGUGGGCAUUUGAAGUCAUAAACAAAUUGCUGGGUUUAUGUAAUUCAAAGUUUACACUAAGGAUUAAGUGGAAACGAUUAUCACUUCAAAAUAAGAGACGAAAGUAUAGAAUUAAAUACGAAUAGAAAAUGUAGAAUAUAUUGGUAGCAAAGCUUAUUAAAUGUAUUGAAUUGAAAUUAUGUCAAAAAGUUGACAAAGUAAGGAUUAUUGCUGCAAGCAUAAAGUAAGCAUUUGAGGAAAUAUUAGUGGCAAAGCAAUAUCCCGCCAUUGGAUGGUGAGUAGGGGGUGUCUAUUUCAAAAGUUUCAUAAACUAUAUAUCGAUAUAUGUUUAAUAGACGUGUUGGUUUUCUUUAAAUACAAUUGUGGACGACAUGUGUUGUUAGCCUUGAUAGGAGAUUUUAAAUGGAUUUGCAAUCAAAUUAUACUGUUAUUGUAGAAAGCAUGAGUUGGUAGAAUGCUAGGCACUUGUGAAUGCCAUGCUUUUGGAAAUGUUUUGUAUAUAUAUAUAUAUACCAGAUAUGUAAAGGGUUUUAGAAAUCGGGAAACAAGCUCUUUACCAUGGUUUAUGUCAAAAUGUGCUUUAUGUGUUUGUGUGAUGUGCAUUCACGAAUAAACUUUAUGUUCACCAUGCUGAUUUGAUAUUUAAACCUCAUGCAAAGGUUUUACAUUAUAAAGUCUUACAAAUGGAUUUAUCACAUCACCAUGGUUGGUAUUUUGGAAAUAGAUUUAAAAUAAGCUUUUCAGAAUCCAAUGUGAGACCUUGAUCUUUAUAGACUCACAAUUAGAAGUAGACGUGAUAUCAUAGACUAGGGGCUAUUGCGUCAUUUCCUUAGUGAGCCCUAGAAGUAUGCUUUCAAACAAUAUUAAGGCCUAAGUAGGCCUAAGGCAUAAAUGAAUGAUGAAAUAAGGAUAAAAUGAUGAAGGAAAUAGAAAUAAUGAUGAUUUCCAAGGUAAGGGCAAAAUGGUCAUUUUUCAUCUCGGAUUGAAAUUUUUAAGUUUUAGUGAACUCGAGUAUUUCUAGACUAUUAUGGAGUUUGUCUUAGUGUCAAAAGAGUAAAAAGAUUGCACAAAGUAUUAGAGGAAGACAAAGUCAACUUGUUAAGGGCAUUUUCGUAAUUUAAGUAGAGUUUGGAUAAGCUUUAGCUAUAAAUAUCAUUUUUCCAACAACUUCUUCAUUUCUCCAGAAGUUGCUUCUUCUUCUUCUUCAUCCCAUCUCACGUUUUUUUCAUCCUCCAUGGAAGCUUGUUUUGAAACCCAUAUAACUUCUCUCAAGUUAGCUUCAAUUUUGAUGCUUUUGUGCACCUUUUCAUAUAACCUUUUGUGCUCUUGCACUCUCUCACUUUAAAACCCUUGAAAAGUCUUACUGCCAUACUUCCUCUCACUAGCUAGGUGUUUUAGACAGAAAAAGAGAGAGCUUCUAUAGUAACUUGAAAAUUUUUGGAAAGAAAUUCAAUUACAAAGCUACCAAGGUUCCAACAAAGCCCCACCGGCCCAUUUGAACCACUAAAGGAAGUUGGAGUUGGGUAAAAAUUUAACAAAUAUCAGUGAGUGAACUUGCAUUAAAAUGUUUGGGAUUAGGGCAUAUGUGUUUGAUUAAAUGCAUUGAAAUAUUUUAUCUGUCUUUCUUUAAAAUAUGCAUGGGAAUAAUCUUUUAAUGAAACGUUUUGCGUUGUGGAAUGUGACUGUCAUGAAUUCAUGUGCCCUAUGUUAUGUUGAUAUAUAUAUCUAAAUAUAUAUGAUAUGUAUUGAUAGUAAUAUUGGUUGCAAUUAAAACUGCGUAUGUGCGCGAUGUGGGGGAGCAGAUGCCGGUGAUGACGGGUGCAGGAGUGUGGAUGAUGAUAUUGCCUGUGCGUGAUGUGGGGGAUGCACAUGAUGACUCCAGCUAUGUGCGAGAUGUGGGGGUUGCACAUGAGCUGGGUGAGGCGGUGGUGGUGUUGGUGGUUAUGUAUGUGUAUAUAUAUUUAUGCAAUAGAAAGUUCAUGAAUAUGGUAUAUGGUUGUAAUGUAUGUGAAAUCUUGCAUGUUGAACCUCGAAAAUUAAUGAGUAUUUUCAAGUUGAUUUUGUCAUUGUAACAGAAUGGCCUUUGCUUGACAUAAUGAGAAUUUUUCUUGGUGUUGUGUUUCUUGCUGCAGCGAGAAACUCUCGGGUUGGGAGGCUUCUUGCAACCCUGUAACUUGCUGCAGUGAGAAUUCAUUAUCACUGCAACGAGAAGCCUUCUGUGGUGCUUGCUACCUUGUUUGGUUGCUGCCCUAUUUUCCAUUUCUUUAGCAAUAUAGUUGAUCAUGGACUUCCAACAUCAAGGAAUUAAUUAAUUAAGUUGGAGAUGAGGGGUUUUAGUGAAAAACCCUCGGCCGGCUGAUAAUUUGAGCCAAAUUUCACUUGAUCAACGAGAAUGCCUUUCCACUGCAGCGAGGACCCAUCAUUUCACUUGAGUUGCUUCAAUGCUAUUAGAGUUUUCACUUUUCAAAUUCUUUAUUAUGUAUAGAUCCUUCAUCAUCAAGUGAUUAACCAAUUAAAGGUUUAAUGAGAGGUUUUAAUAAGAAUUAAACUAAAUUGCAUUGUUUUGAAAAAAAAGUGCAUCAUGAUUUCUUAAACUUUUUUUGUCGUUUACUUGUUCCCUUCCUUUGUUCACUCACUAGGUUUAUACUCACUGUUUUUAACUUCAUGUUUUCAUAUCAAGAGGCAAUCGGUAACUAGGUUAAAGUGUCCUCGUAGAUUCGUCUCCUUGGUAGGUAUCUCGGUAUUCAAUAGCUGUACUUUCGCCCGAGUCUCUCUGCUAGAAGUUGAGUAUCUCUUUUGUUGUGUAUAGAUAAAACCUGAUGUAAAUUACUAAGAUAUUUGUCUUAGACAAUAUUUGUAUACUUUGAAUGGUAACGCCACUAUGAGUUGACAAUUGUUAACAUUAUUCUGAGUUGGAAUUAUGAAAUGUGACUUUAGAAACAUAUGAUAGAAUGAAGAACAGGUUAUGCAAAUAAGCUUGCUUGGACUUAGUGGGCUAUGCCCAUUGGGUCCAUGCGCCAGUCAUGGCCUGAAAAUUAGGCUGUGACACCCAACUUGCUUAUAAAUGGUUUUAUCAAACCAGGAGAUUCGAGAGUAGGUCGAAUGUCACAUUGGGGUAGUGUGACCCUUGUGCAUAAGUGAGCUUUAGCUAUGGAACCUUUGGGUAGCUGACGGGCUAUUAGACGUGGCAAGGCUACGGUUUAUGAUAUAUAUAUACGUGGCAAGGCCAUGGGAUGAUAUACAUGGAUAGACCAUGAGUUGAUAUGAGUGGUUGCGACCACAUGAUUUCUUCAAUGUCGGCCAACAUCGUCAAGACUGCCAUGGCUACAAAAAUCUGGUGGAGGAGGGCCUCUCGGAUGUCAUUAUGUGGAAGUGGGUCCACGAGGUUGAUUAUUACGAUUACUUACUCAAGAGUGAUAUCUCUUUGGGCUUUCAAAGAUGAAUUCUUUCGCAUGGUGAGAAAUACAAGUUUUUCUGUAGCUCCUUAUUUAUAUGAUGAUUUGGUGUUUAAUACCUCGAGGAUGAGAUAGUUUAUGAGCUUGUGUACAAGCUUUGAUAAUGCUUGAUUUCAUGGGAGCAUGCAUGCUUAUGUUAGUCCGAUUUUAAGUAAAGGACGUUAAAUGAUUUCAAUGGUAGAAAUCUUUUAGUUGCACUGAUUUUGAUACAUUAUUUGAAAUGAUUAUUCUGCAUCACUAUUCUUGGGUUAUACGUAAGGCACAAAUGUUCCAUUUAAGUUUAAAUUGUUAUAUACACUCUCAUGUUUUUAACAUUCAAAUUUUCUACCCGUGGCUUGUUUCCCAUCUACGCCUUAUUCACGGAGUCGAUGAUCAUUGAGUCUGUGAGACUCACCCCCUCUUAUAUUUUUUUGCAUAUAAGUGAUCAGCCUAGCGUGCAUUCAUUAGCACUUAUUGUCCACCACGGAUAGGUAAAGGCAUCUUAUAGCACUUUAUUCCGAGUCGCUCCAGUACUAGAGGUCGAGUCAUCAUAGUGUAUUUUGUUUUUUGUAAAUAGACACUAGUCUUAAUGCAAAUGUAUCAUUGGAGACUAUAAACUAUAAUGUAUUUUUACAAUUAUGAUGAAUAAAGUUAAAGUCAAUUUAUUACGACUUUUUGAUCAAAUCAUAUUACUAAGAGUUAUAUGGUUCAAAACGAUUAUAUGAGUAGGCGGAAUGAAUAUAAUGUACUAAUAAUGGUUUCUAAUAAGGCUUGUUCGGGACUUGGUGGGUCCUCUUGCAAGACUCGAACACCAGUAACGAUCGAGGAACAGGUCGUCACAUAAUCCAUUGGAAAUAUAAGAGGAAGGGCUUUAAUUUUGAUGUUUUCCACUUUGCCCAGUUCCGAUCGGAUCAUGGUCAAAAUCCUUGUCAAAGUUGAAGCAAUGUAGUAGUCUGCACAAACUGAAUAUGAUGCGGUAGUUUGAGCAUAUUUUUCACUCCAAAAGUUAAAUUGAUGUGAGUUUUAUGCCAUUAGAAAGCUAAAAGACAUGGCUACAACUUUCAUGUUUACCAUUUUUCCCAUUUUGUCCUGAAAAAUGGUGAAUAUUACAUCACAAGAUGAAAUAGUGCAGUAGAGACAACAUAAGAAAGGAGCACCAUUGUGCCACUUGAGAGUAAGGUGUUGCAGCACCUAAAAGGCAAGGUCACAGUGCUCGACAAGUUAUCAAAAAUUUGUUUUUGACGAGAUUUUGGAAACUAAGGUUUUUAGAGCCUAUUUAAAGGGCUUUUUAUAGAGGUUUUGAGAGGACAAUAGCAACUAUUUUGGAGAAAAAAAGCAAACAAGAAAGCAAGAAAGCAAAGGAAUUUGAGAGAGAAUCAAGAUCAAAAGCUUCAAUUGUUAGUUUCUUUCUUUACUUUUGUGUUUCUCUUAUUUUCUUUGACUUGGUUUAAUGGCUAAUUUUUUUUUGGAUGAUGUUUUAUUUAAAUUUUAUGAACUAAUUUGUGUUUCUAGGAUUGUGGUGGAUUUUAACAUGUUGUCGAAUAUUUGUUUCUCUUUUAUUUACUAUGAAUGGGUAUAGUUUUGCUUAUUUAAAUAUGUUCUUAAGGCUUUUAAUUGACUGGCCAACAAUUAACUGAUUUGUGAAUCUAUUAAGACUCGACAAAGAGAUUUUAGAUUGGACUAAAGUUUGAAUAGUUUAUGUUCACAUCACUCAGGUGAUCUCAUUCAUGAUUUAAGUAAACUUAUGCCAAUUGUCAUACAUAGCUAAAUUAGAACACUAGCUUAAUGAACCUUAAAAAAUUGAUUUCUAUAGACAUACAGUGACCCAAUUAAGUUAGGUUUUCAUGUAAGCAUCUCCACUCAGGCUUGUACAUAGCCUUGGAUUUUAGGUUAGUAAAACCAACCAUGAAUGAAAAUAAUAGGAUAAGCUUAUAUCAUAUGAAGUGUUGGAUGAACUCAUAUCACAGGUUUUAAUCUAUUACCUUUCUCAAGUAAUUUUAAUUUUUGUUAGUUAAUUUAGUGCUUGUUUUAAUUAAUUUUGUGAAAAUUUUAGUUACUUAAAUAAGAUUAAUUGGUAAAAAAUUUUAGUACUUAGUAAAGAUUUAGGAACAAAUCUCUAUGGGAAUGAUACUUUUUUUCGUCACUAUAUUACUUGUUUACAAUAGUGUACACUUGCAUGAAAAUUCAACAAGUUUUUGGCCCUAUUAUGGGUAUUUGUUUUCCUAUUUAUUUUUCUAAUAUUAAUAUUCAUAGAUUAAUCGUAAUUUGAGUUUUCUUUCUUUUAUUUUUAGGUAUGUUUGGUUAAGGUGAUGAAUUAUAAUAACUAUCAAUGGCUAUCGGAACAAUCUGAGCCUAGGAGGGUUGCUAGUGAUUAUGAAUUGGCUAUUAGUGCUUUGACCACCCAAGUAGAUGCUUUCUCAAAGAAUUGACACAUGGGGUGUUAAUGUUUUUCAGAGUCCUUUUGUGACAUGCAAGCUUUGUGGAGAUAGGCAAUCAAGUGAUUGUUGUCUAGCCUAUUAUGAAUCAAUUCCAUUUGAUGGAAACAUCAACGGGCAGCAAACUAAUUCAUACUCCAAUAGUUACAACUCAGGGUGGAAUCACCUAAAUUUUUCAUGAAGUAAUGAUUAAGGUCUUAUAUAUUCAUCAUAGCCUUAUUUUUAUAAUGAUGUUCAGUCACAAGUUAGAGCCCUUAUACUUGAGAAAAAGCCAACUUUGGGAGAGAUGCUAAUGCAAUACAUAGCCAAGAAUAAGAAAUACAUGGCAAAUAUGGAUGCAGCCAUUCAAAGUAAUGAAGCUUUAAUGAGAAAUAUUGAGACAUAUGUGAAUCAACUUAUUAAUGACAUCAAUAAUAGGACUUAGGAAACUUUACCAAAUGACACUAAGCCUAAUCCUAGAAUAGAAGAAUACGGUAAGCAUCUUGACAAGGUAAAUGGCAAGAAUGUCAUAGAUGAUGGAUGUAAAGUAGAUUAAAAGAAUACUUUCAACAAUCAAGUUCAAGAUGCAGAAGAUAAACAAGAAGAGGAGGUAUCUACACCACCACAAGUCCAGCCAUAUGUGCCUCUCGUUCCUUUUUUGGAUACAAGUGAAGAGUUUCCUAAGAAAGCUAUUGAUAUGGAAAAUCCAACAAAUCUCCUCGAGGCUUGUUUGGUUCAAGAUGCAAUAAAAAAGGACAAGAAUGAAGAACUCACAAAUGUCACACAUGUUUUGAAAGCUUAAGUAAAAGUGCAUUAUCCAAGAAGAAUUCAAUUUGAGAAGUAGGGUAAAAGUCAACCUAUUCCACUACCUUGGGUUUAGCAAGCACCAAAUUUUAAGUUAAAGCCACUACAACCUCAUCUUAGAAGGAGGCUACUUUCACACCUCAAGCUUUCUCCAUGUAAACUUAAACCUCCUUGAAGGAUGAAUGGAGACCUUAACCAAAGUCAAGCUAUUGACUAUAAAAAAGCACUUAUUGAGAGGCAACCCAAGCUAUAUCCUUUCAGAUUUAGUUAUUAUUUUAGUUAGUUUUGUUUUUCUGUUUAAUAAGUAGUUAUAACCUCUCCCUGGCUUGUUUUGUUAAGUAUGUAUUUUUGGAAAGCAUGAAGAUGAAGAGAAGGAAAAUUGGAACUUUCAAUGCACUGCCACUAUUGAUAAGAGAGUUUAUUUUCCUUAUCAUUUUUUAGCUUUUCACAUUAAGGGAAAUGUACAAUUUAAGUUUGGGGGAGGGUUUUUGUCAAGCUUGACCGUAUAAAAUACUUGCCAUGUCAUUCAUGUGAUUGACAAUAUGCUGGCAUACUUGGAAAGCCCCGAAAAAUCGUCAAAAGAUGGUAGUGUACUAAAUGGUACAACUAAGUUGAAUUAAGACUCGAACUAGACCAAAUAAAGAUUUCAAGAUGAAAUUUAGAAUUUUAAAUUCCCAGAAUGAUUUAAUAUGGUGAUUUGGAGUUCGAGAAUCGAUUUGGAGUCAAAAUGGAAUUUUCAUGACGUUGGGGUAAAAUGGUCAUUUUACCACCCAAGGGCAAAAUUGUAAUUUUACACAACCCAACACUUUCAUACUCAUAGAUUUCAUCCCUUAACAUUUUAUAUGGUGAAUAAUUGAAAUAUUUUAUGUGGUGGAGAAAGAAAGCUUAAUUGUUAAGUGUAAAAUGUGGACUAAUGGUAUGGUGACAAGUGGCAAGCUUAUAUUUGUUUAUAAUUUACAUUAAAAACCAGCACAUAAGUCCUCCCAACUCAUUUCUCUUGGUUGGCCAAAGGAAGAAAAGUUAAGAAAAGAAGAAGAACAAAACCCUAGCUAAGAAAUUCAAGAGAAAUUCAGAAAAUUUCAAAGAAUCAAAUGACAAAAGGUAAGAUUUUUCAAUUCUAGCUUGAGAUCUGUCUUUCCUAAGCAUUCUUUCUUAUUUUCAUGGUUGAAAUUCAUGAUUAUAUGAUGAAUCUCUUGCUGGCUGAACAUAUAGAGAGAGGUUUUAAUGGUUAAUUUGGUUAGAUUUCAAUAUAUUCUAGUGUUUUUAGUUAGUUAAUGAUGUGUAGCAUGAAAAGCAAACAAGAAAAAUUCAUUUUCUUCCAUCACCCUCCAUUGGCCGAAUCUUCCCUAUGGUGUGUUGAUGGUGGACUUGAUUUUAUUUCAAGUGAUUUGGUUAGAAAUUAAUGAUUUAUGGUGUAAAAAUUAAGUGGAAAAAACCAUAGUGUUCAUGCACCUACCAUGGCCGAAAUUCCCAAGAAGAAAUGUGAAGAUGAUCUUGCUAAAUUUUAUGUUACUUGACUUGAGUUUGAUGAUUUGGAGUAUUAGGAGGGAAAUAGAGUUAUUUGGAGUUAAAUUGGACAUAUUGGCCAAUUAAUCGGAUGAUAGAUCGAAUUAGGCCAAUACCAUUUUAUUUAGGUACACAAUUGAAUUUAUGUAGAACACCGUGUUUAGACGAUGAUCCGAACUAUUCGCAUUCCAUUGCAUGCAUUCAUAUAGAGCCUAGAUUAGUUUUAUAAUGGUUUAGCACCAAUGUGGUAAAUUGCUUGAUUAUUCAUUAUGUCUAGGUUGUGAAUCCUCCAGUAAGGGCAAAGAAGUUGUACCCGAACACCUGGACUAGGAGUACUUCGACUGCCGAUAUUGUGAGUAACCUUAUUAUUGUCUUAAUUAUCUAAAGUAUGUUUUUAUCCGAUUUUGUAAUUCUAUGGAAAAUGUGUUUAAAUGAAAUGAUUUUAUAAAUUGUUUUGAAAUUUAAUGAUAACUUGAAAAUGGAGUAAUUGGAGACAACUUGCUGUAUUGUAAAUUAUGUUUUGAAUUGAAUGGCUUAUGACAAUGUGGGCAUGAAUGGCUGGAUGGGUAUUUGUGUUGAAAAUGUAUAAACUGUUGUUUGCUUUGAUAGGCUGGAUAAUGAUAAAAUUGCCAUGUCAUGCUAUUGAAUUUUUAUUGAAUUGGUGGGUUAUAAAUUGGUCACUGUAGUGGCGGGUUUUGUGGGCCAACCUAUUAGAGGGGCACGAAAUCCAGUUAUAUUUUUUCCUUGGUCAAAGAGGCACGUAGGGUAUCUCUUAAGGUAAAGUUUAGAGUUCACUUCAUGCCAAACCACCAUGUGAAAGUGAAUUCAGCCAACACCAAGGAACGACCGUGCUUUUAAAUGUAAAAAUGUGUUUUGUGCUUAUAUGACUUUUUAACAACCUUGGCGGAUUCGGUUAGAUGCCUCGGUCAAGGUAUCCUGGAGAAUGAGUUUUGGCACGAGCCAAGUUUUUAAGAGAUUCAUAAGCCUCGUUGUAUAUUUUGGAUGAAAUGUAACUGGUUUAGAUGAUUUGAAAUGUGUUUUGAUAUUAUGAACCAUCUUAUGAUGAUCCAUUUUAAUCGUCUCUAUUUACUCGGCUUUAGAUAUUUUAGAUGAUAUUUGUUUACUCACUGGGAUUAUAUAAUCUCAUCACCCUCCUUUCCACCCAUUUCAGGCUCAGGAUAGUUUGUAGAUAGCUAAUAUCGUCGAAGGCUACAGUUGGCUUUACUUCCUCAAAAAUCGUAGGUUCACAGCCUUCGUUCACUUUUGUCAUUUAGGGGCCCACGUGUCAUUGUAAAUUUAAUUACAUACCUUGACUAUCUGUAUUACAGUAUGUAUGAAUUUAUUUCGCUUUUACGCUACAAAAAUUCCUUACAGAUAACUCUAUAAAAAUUUUUUUAUAAGAAAAUGGAAUAUUUUAUUGAAUAUUUUUAUUAUAUCCAAAUAGUCAUAAUUUUACUUUAAAUGAAUGUUUUAGAUAUCUAAACUUAUUUUUGAUUAUGAAAUAUGUGUUUUGCACUCGCAUACUACAUUAUUAGCUGGUUUCGAAAUUUUUGGAGAAAAAUGACCAAAAUACCCUUGAGAGACGAAAAUUAUUUUUAAUUGUUUUGGUUUGGAAAUAGCUUAUAAUCUUUUAAACUAUGAUAUUAGCAACUGUUGCUCGCAAGGGAGGUGAGAAAACUAAUAUUAAAGCCUUGCGAGAUUUCGGUUGGCAUUUCAGGUAAUGAAUGUCUAUUGGGACAACGCGGCAGUUGUCACGGGCUCAAGGAGAGUACCGGGUCGUGACAGUUUUAUUGAUAUUAGUUUUUAUGUUGAUUUUAGGUUAGUUUAUUUUUGUUAAAUUUUUUUCUUUCAUCAUUUAAUUUUAUGCAUAUUUUAAGAUUUUAAUUAGAGUUAGUAUGUGCCAAUUUACUUUAUUUACCUAUCUAGUGAUGAUAACCAAUUAGCGUGUUAAUCUUUUGCUCAUAGUAAACAUGAAUAUUGUUUUAGUUUUAUAUGAAUUCGUAUGUUUAGCAUCAUGAUAGGAUGAGAUUUCCAUAAGUCAACACUAUAUCUCUUGCAUUAAAUUAUUAUGUACCUUUAGAGAAAACUUAUGUAAAUAUAAAUUUUUUAAACCAUGUUUGGAGUUCUAGAAUUUGUUUGACUCUUCCUUGAGGCAAAAUCAUAAGCUAUACUUAAUUAGGGAGAUGACUUAGGCCAUUCUUGGACUGAUUAAGCCUUUCAAGCUAACUUAGUUACAUUUUUAUUCAUAGUAUACCCAUUUGAGCUUAAAUUGUCCUUUUCUUUGAUUACACACAUGAAAAAAAUUAACUUAGCCUUUGACAAAUUUUCUAAUCUUACAAUCCUCACUUUUAAGCAUAUUUAUUGUUUUAACAAAGAUAUGUUGAGCUAUUUGAUGAAAAAAGUGAAAAAGAUGAAGUGUAGAGACAGAUGCAAAAUUUUUGUUAAGCAUUCAUCCCACUACUAAUAAAAGAAACAAGUUUAGAGGUGUUGAAUUAAGAAAAAAAUUGUUUAAUGAAUGAAAAAUGAAAAGAAAGAAAAAAGGUGUACUUUAUGAUGAAAAAUAAGGUUAUAUAGGUCUUAGAACAAUUAUGUGCUUAGGGUGAUUUGAGCUCCAUAUUAUCCUAUAUCCUACCUUGACCCUAGCUAUACAUUACAAGCUAAACAGAGUUCUAAGGAUCCUUGGUUAAGUGUUAGCCUACAUUAGUGGAGAAGGAGAUCAAAAGAAAACAUAUGAAACUUCAAACUAGUUUGAAGUUUGUAUGAGCAUAAACUUAUCCGGAGUGCAUGAUAGUCAUUGUAAGAGAUUUCAUACACACACACAAGAGUCCAUUUGAAAAUGAGCUUGCAUUUGAAUGUAAUGUGAAUUUAGAUAAUAUUUAUGUUUUGCUUUGAGUUGGGAAAAUGUGAUAAUUUUUGAGGAUAUUAAAGGUGAUUAAUGAAUUGGUGCAAUUGAUUUCUAGUUUAGUUGUUGUUCUUCAUUUAGGUUAUUGCAUUUUAGUUUAUGUUUUGCUCGAGGAUUAGCAAAAUCUUAAGUUUGGGGGUGUGAUAAUUCUACUGUAUAGAGUUAUUUUAACACAUUUUGAGGGCGUAAGUAGCUAGGUCUAUGAGAUUUAAGGCUUGAAUUUGAGUAAUUUAGGUGUUUUUCAUAGUUAAGUUAAAUUACAUAUUGAUUAGUUUAAUUUAAGUUAUUUUAGCUUAAUUUUAUGUUAUUUUAUUUUAAAUUACUUUAAGAGUAGCUAUUGCCAAUUUAUCUUAUUGCUUUUGCAGGAAAUCUAAUGAAAAAGGCUCAUUCGAUGAAAAUUUGUGCACGUAUGGUGAAAGCUUCAUUCGUAUAUGUUGCAGUAUUUUGAGGAUAACCUGAGCUACAAAUAUCCAAUUGAUGCAAUUCAUAAUCCAUCAUAAAGAUAAAGGAAAGGACAUUAAUAUUUAUUUACCAUUUCACCCAGUUCUAAUUGGAUUAUUGUCAAUAUCCUUGUUGAAGCUGGGGCACUGCAAUAGUCUACAUAGACUAAAUAUGAUGCGGUAUUUUGAGCGUAUCUUUUACUCCAAAAGUCCAAUUGAAGUGACAUUUUAGCCAUUGGAAAGCUAAAAGAUAGGGAUACAACUGUUAUGUUUACUAAUUUACACAUUUCAAUAUGGAAGAAGGCAAAAAUUGCAUCACAAGAUGAAGUAGUGAAAUAGAGAUAGCAUAAGAAAGGAGCACCAUAGUGCCACUCGAGAGUAAGGCAUCGUAGUAGUCAAGAGGCAAGGCCGUGGAGCCCAACGAGUUACCAAAAAUCUGCUUUGUUAGGAUUUUGGAAAAUAGGGUUUUUAGAGCUUAUUUGCAAGGCCUCCUUCAGAGGCUUUGAGAGGACAUCAAACAACUAUUUUGGAGAAAAAGAGCCAAAAACAAAGCAAGAAAGCAAGAGAAUUUGAGAGAGUAUCAAGAUUAAAAGCUUCAAUCAUUAGUUUUUUUCUCUAUUUUUGUGUUUCUCUUAUUUUCUUUGGCUUGGAUUAAUGGCUAAUUUUCUUUAGAUGAUGUUUUAUAUAAAGGUAAAAGACCCUCACCUCUUUAAGUUUUAAUCAAAUUUUCAAAUGGGUCCAUUUGUUUUCGAAAUGAAAAAAAAGAAAGGGUGUUUUAAACAUUUCAUAUUUAAUAUUAACGUUGUUUAGACGUUUGGGGAGGAGUGUCCAUUUUAAAAACUAAUGGACCUUCGUGUAAUUUCGAUCAAAUUAUGAACUAAUUUCCAUUUCUAGGAUUAUGGUGGAUUUCAACAUGUAGUAUGAAUACUUGUUUCUCUUUUAUUUACUAUGAAAGGGUAUAGUUUUGCUUAUUCAAAUAUGUUCUUAAUGCUUUUAAUUGUUUGGCCAAUAAUUAUUUGAUUUGUGAAUCUAAUUGAGACUCGACUGAGAGAUUUUAGAUUAGACUAAGGUUUGAAUAGUGUAUGUUCAUGUCACUUAGGUGAUCUGAUUUGCAAUUUGAGUAGACAGACGCUAAUUGCCAUGCAUUGCCAAAUUAGAACACUAGCUUAAUGAAUCUUAUUUAAUUGAUUCCUAUAGACAUAUAGUGACCCAAUUAAGUUAGGUAUUUAUGCGAGCAUCUUGACGAAGACUUCUACAUAGCCUUUGAUUCUGGGUUAGUAAAGUCACCCAUGAAUGUAAAUAAUAGGUGAAGUUGGUAUCAGAUAAAGUGUUAAAUGAACCCAUAAGUUUAGGUUUUAGUAUAUUGCCUUUCGCAAGUAAUUUUGAUUUAUGUUAGUUAAUUUAGUACUUGUUUUAACUUAGUUUUAAUUAUUUUUUUGAAAAUUUUAGUUACUUAAAUAAGAUUAAUUUGUUAUAAAUUUUAGUACUUAGUAAAGAUUUAGGAACAAAUAUCUAUGGAAACAAUACUCUACUUCAUUACUGUCACGACCCAAUUUUCGAGCCGUGACAAGCGCAUGGACCCAAUGGGCAUAGCCCACCAAGCCCAAGCAAGCCUACUUAUAUAAUCCUGCUCAUCAUUCCAUCAACUAUUCUUAAAGUCACCUUUCAUACUUCCAAUCUAUAAGAACCUAAUUAAUAUGCUAUAGCAAUCAAAACUACAUUUCACAUUAACCCAAAUAAUGUUAAACAUUGCCACUCAUGGUGGCUUACCAAUCAAAAUAUACAUAUAUGCUCUAAGGCUUCAUUUUAGUUCUUUACAUCACAUGCACGUAUUUAUAAACAAAAUGACUCUAGGCCUCCAGCGAAAUGACCAAGGUGAAGGGACGGCUACUGAAUGCCAACAUACCUACCAAAGAGACGAAACUACGUGGAAACCUCGGCCUAGGUUCCAACUACCUCCUAAUCUGAAAACAUGAAGUUGAAAAUAGUGAGUACAAACUCAGUGAGUGAACAUAAGAAGGGAACAAGCAACAAUAAGGAAAGCUGAUAAUCAUGAUGCACUUAUUUGAAAACAAUGCAACUUAGUUCAAGUUCUUAUUAAAAUCCCUCUAUUUAACCCUGGGUUGUAAAAUCAUUUAACGAUGAAGGAACCAUGUUCGGCAUAAAAUUAGAAAGAGAGGAAAUUUCCAACAAUCAUCCAAGCAAGGCAGCAUAAACAGCAUGUUUCUCACUGUAAUAAAAUCAAUUUGCAAGUCAAUGGGAAAUAUUCAAGAUUCAUCAUACCAUACAAUCACAUAUUAUAAUCAUGAUUUUUUUAUUGCAUAUACAUAUACUUAAGCAUAUACCAAUUCGUAUACCACCCCAUUUCACCCAGCUCAUGUGCAUCCCCCCACAUCGUGCACAUAGUCGGACACCCCAUCUCAACCAGCUCAUGUGCAUCCCCCCACAUCGUGCACACAACCGGACACCCCAUCUCACUUAGCUCAUGUGCAUCCCCCUACAUCGUGCACAUAGCUAGAGUCAUCAUGUGCAUCCCCCCACAUCGUGCACAGUUAAUGCCAUCGUGUGCAUCCCCCCACAUCGUGCACAGUCAAUGCCAUCGUGUGCAUCCCCCCACAUCGUGCACACGUGCAGUAUCACCAUCCAUCUCCCUCACCACCGUCAUCACUGGCAAGUGCACAUUCACCCCGCACAUGCACGGUUGCAUUUGUCACACAAUGGUACCAUUUAUGACAUAGUAUAUAUAUAUAUAUAUAUAUAUAUAUAUAUAUCAACNGUACCAUUUAUGACAUAGUAUAUAUAUACAUCAACUUUAUACAGAAACAUAUGAAUUCAUCACACAAUCCAUUUCAUAACAUAAAAACAUUUCAUAAGGGCUUGUUCCUGUGCAAGUUUUGAAGAAAGAACCAAGUAAAACAUUUUAGGGGAUUCAAUCAAAUAUAUAUGUGUAUAUCCCAAAACCUUUUAAUGCAAGUUCACUCAUCGGUACUUGUUGAACCUUUAGUCGACUCUAACUUUCCUAAUGGUUCAAAUGGGGCUGAGGGACCUUGUUGGAACCUAUCACGCACAAAAACAUCACAGCUAGACAAAUUUACAUUAAUAUCACUCCAAAAACUGUUUCCCAAUUCAAGCUUCAAUAGCCCCUCCUAUCUACCUUCCAAUUACCAUUUGAUUGGCUAUUCCAUUUCUCUACUUUAGUAACACUAACACAACUCGUAACUCUAAUUACUAGCCAUCAUCAAUAACUUAAAACCAAUCCUAAUUCAUCACUCACCUUUGUGGAUGGUAAUGAAAUUUCUUCCUAAGAGUCCUCAAGCUGUCAUGAAACCUUUUUUUCUCUCUCUACAAAGUUCAGCUGGUGAGAAAAAGUAUUCAAAAAAGACUUUUAAGGCUUUGUUUAAGGUGAAGGAGUAAAAGAGUAUGAAAAACCCUACAACAGGGUGUGUAAAGAACGAAAAUUGAGGUUAGUUUGAGAGAGUGAUGGAAGCUUGAGAAAAACUUUCAUGGAAGAGGAGAAAAAUGUGAGAUGGGAUGAGGAAAAAGAAGAAGUUACUAGAGAAAUGUGGAAGCUGCUGGAAAAGAUGAGAUCUUUAUAGUUAAAGCUUAUCUAAUUUCUCAUGCAAUUACAAUAAUGCCUUUAAUAAGGCCACUUGUCUUCUUUAUUUUCUUGUGCAAUCUUUUCACUCUUUUGACAUUGGGAAAAGGUCCAAAAUCCUCUAAAAGAGGUCCCUUAAGUAGCCCUCAAAAGUCCUAGCUUCAAAAAUCCUCUAAACUUGUUAUUUGUGGAAAUUACGGUGAGGGUCGUGACUCUUAAUUUCCAGUGCCGUAGCACUCAAAUGUUCUAUCCAAAUUUGUUCUUCUGGCACAAUACUUUUACUUUGACAAGGAUUUUGACAACCUUCCCGUCAAAACUGGGUAACUUGGUAAACACCAAAGUUGUUUCCCUGCCUCUUAUCUUUCUAAUGGUUCAAAAAUCAUAUUUUUUGGACUUCUGUAGUGGUAGUUAUCAUUGAAAAACUAAAAUAUAUGCAAAUAGAGCAACAACCCACUAUGCACCUUUCUUCACCAAUUGAAAUUAUUUUUUAGUCCUACACCUAUAAUGACAUAAAAUAAUUAUAAGUAAUGUAAAACUAGCAUCAUUAGCUCAAAUUAAACCUUUAAACAUAAGUUCUACCUUGAGUUACGAAUUUAUGAAGGUCGAGGUUUCACAAUUACUAUAUUACUUAUUUGCGAUAGCGUGCACUUGCGUGAAAAUGCAACUACAAAGAUUGAAGAUUGAAGAUAUAACAAAUCUUUAGCUUUCUGUUCUUUUCUUUUCAUCUUUAUUUUUGUUGAAUUGUUAUUAUAGUUAUGUUUAUUUGGAUUUUGCUUUUAUUAUUCAUUAUGAACUAAUUUUUCUAUCUAGGAUUACAAUUAAACUCGACAUGUAAUUUGAAUUCUUUAUCUCUCUUUCACUUACAAUUAAUGGAAUAUGAGUUGUUUAUUCUAAUUCUAUGUUUAAUGAUUGUAAUUACUUUGUCAAGCCCUACCUUAUAAAAUAUUAUCCAUGUCAUUCAUGUGGUUGACAAUAUGCUUGCAUACUUGGAAAGCCCCGAAAAAUCGUCAAAAGUCGUUAGUGAACCUAGAAGUGCAACUAAGUUGAAUUAAGCCUCGAACAAGUCCAAAUAGAGAUUUUAAGAUGAAAUUAAGAAUUUUAAAACCCCAGAAUAAUUUAAAAUGGUGAUUCGGAGUUUGAAGACUGAUUUGGAGUCAAAUUGAAAUUUUCAUGACCUAGGGGCAAAAUGGUCAUUUUGCCACCCGAGGUUAAGAUGUGAGUGUUGGAUGAAAAUUUUGACUAAGAUUGACUAUUGAGAACAAAAUUUGAGUUUGAGAAGUGAAAAAUGACAUUUUUUCAAGUAUAGGGGUAAAAUAGUCAUUUUGUCACCUCAAGGGCAAAAUGGUAAUUUUACAAACCCAACACUUGUCCAGUACAUAGAUUUUACCCAAUAUUAUCAUGGAUAAUUGAGGAAAUUUAUAUGGUGGAGAGAGAUUGCUUAAUGAGUAAGAAUGACACAUGGACCAAUGGAAUGGUGAUAUGUGUCAAAUUCUCAUCCAUUUAAUAUUGAGGCAUUUUAAAAAAUAGUCCUUAAAGAUAAGAUGUUUUUAAAAAUAGCACUAUUUAUAAGUUUAACUAUUUUUAAUCAAGUUGGACAAAAUUACCCUUAAUGAAGUUGCACACUAUGAUGUUACACGCCAUGUACAAAAACCUGUGACAAGCUAUGGUUAGUGUGUUACACGCUAUGUACAAAAAUAUGUGACACGCCAUGUACAAAAAUCUAUGACAAGCUAUGGUUAACUUGUUACACGCCAUGUACAAAAACCUGUGACAAGUCGUGGUUAGCGUGCUACACGCUAUAUACAAAAAUAUGUGACAUGCCAUGUACAAAAACCUGUGACAAGCCAUGGUUAGUUUAUUUUUCACGCUAUGUACAAAAAUAUGUGACAAGCCAAGUACAAAAUCCUGUGACAAGCUAUGGUUAGGUUGUUACACGCCAUGUACAAAAACUUGUAACAAGUUAUGGUUAGGUUGUUACACGCCAUGUUGAAAAGAAAUACUAUUGUUACACGCCAUGUAAAAAACCAUGUUACACGUCAUGGUUAAAAAAGGUUGUUACACGCCAUGUUGAAAAAAAAAUAUUGUUGUUACACGCCAUGUUGAAAAAAUAUUAUUGUUACACGACAUAUUCAAAAACAUUUUGUUAUACUUUAAUGUCUAAAAUGUUGUUGUUGUUACUUACGAACCAAAACUUCAAAUCCUCUCAACUUUUUUUUUGUUUCUCUGACAAUUUGGCACAGAUUAAAGUGUUUCUAACAUGUUUUCAUAAAUCAAAAUACAAAUAUUUUUUUAUCUAAAACACCUACUUUGACUAAAAAAAAUUCUUUGAAAACCUAGAUUUAUAAAUUUGAAAAUUUUGAAUUUAUAGGUAUCUAAGUCUCGAAUUGAUUCAAUUAAAUGCUAUUUUAUACAUUUGUGAUUAUUUUUACAGUUUUAUUUUUAUCCAAAAUACCUAAAAAUCGAAUUUUCAAAACAGUCAACCACCCACCCAAGCACGUCAAAACCAUUGCUUGGUGUCUUGAAAGCGUAACAAAGAGAAAUAUGAAAAUGCGGGAGAGAGAAAUCGAAAGCAUAAUAGAUGAAUGCCGAACAGAGAAAUCGAUAAAAUUUUAGAGACUGAGAUGGUGAGAGAGAAAUCCAAAGCACAGAUGAGGAGUAAUGGGGAGAAAUUAUGAUGAAUAGUUUAAUUUAUUUGAAAUAGUUUAAAGGGUAUUUUCGUCAAGUCAUGAUUAAAUAUGGGUAAAAACAGUUAAACUUAUUUUGAUGGUUAUUUUUAAAAUGUGUUUAUAAAGAAAGGUCAUCUCACACAAUUUCCUUUUUAAUAUUUUUCUUAUAAAUUAGCAUAAAAUCAGCCUAUUUCUCUUCAUUAUGGCCGGCCAAAGCAAGAACAAAGGAAGAAAAGAAAGAACCAAAACCUAGGUGGAAAAAUUCAAGGAAAAAGUGUGAAAAUUCAAAGAAUCAAGUGAAAAAAGGUAAGAUUUUUUAAUUCUAGCUUGUGAUCUACCUUUCCUAUGCAUUUUUUUUCAUUUUCCAUGGUUGAGAAUCAAGUUUGCAUGAGGAUACCCUUACUGGCCGAACAUUGGGGGGAGGAGUUUUGAUGCUUGAUUUGGUUAGAUUUUAAGAUAUUUUAGUGUUUUUAGUUAGUUAGUGAUGUGUAGCAUGAAAAACAAGCAAGAAAAAUUCAUUUUCUUCCAUCACCCAUCAUUAGCCGAAUUUUCCAUGUAGAGUGAGGAUGAUGGAUUUGAUUUUAUUUCAAGUGAAUUGGUUAGGAAAUGAUGAAUUACGAUGACAAAAUCAAGUAAGAAAAAUCAUAGUGUUGAUGCACCCACUAUGGCCGAAAUUCCCAAGGGAAAAUGUGAAGAUAAUUUUACUAAAUUUUAUGCUAUUUGACUUAUAUUUGAUGGUUUGGAGAAUUGGAAGAAAAAUGGAGUUAAUUGGAGUUGAAUUGGACAUAUUGGCCAGUUAAUCGGGAGAUAGAUCGAAUUAGGCCAAUACCGUUUUAUUUAGGUACACAAUUGAAUUUGUGUAAAACACCGUGUUUAGAUGAUAAUCCAAACAAUUUACAUCCCAUUUCAUACAUCCAUAUAGUUUUAUAACGGUUUAGCACCAAUGUGGUAAAUUGCUUCAUUGUACAUUAUGUCUAGGUGGUGAAUCCUCCGAUAAGGGUAAAGAAAUUAUACCCGAGGAUCGAUAGUCAGAAUACUCUAAAAAUUCUACUCUCGAAAUAGUGAGUAAUCUUAUCUUCAUUUUAAUUAUCUACAGUGGUCUUUUUAUUCGAUUUUGUGAAUUUUAUCGAAAAUGAGUUAAAUGGUAAAUCUUUGUGUUUAGUAACUAAAAUGUGAUUUAAUGAAAUGAUAUUAUAACAUCGUCUUGAAAUUGAAUGGUGGUUUGAAAAUAGAGUAAUUGGAGACUGUUUUCAUUUGUUGUAAAUUCAUGGUUUGAAUCGAAUGGCUUAAGACAAUAUUUGCAUGAAUCGCUGAAUUGGUAUUUAUGUUGAAAUAUAUGAACUGUGUAUUUAGCCUCGAGAGGCUGGAUUGUGAAAUAAUUGCCAUGUCAUGCUAUUGCAAAUUUUAUUGUAUGGUGGGUUUAGCUUGCUGCAGUGAGCGGGUUCUGUGGACCAGCCUAUUAGAGGGGCACAAAAUUCGAUUAUAUACAUACCUCGAUCGGAGAGGCGCGUAGGGUAUCUUCUAAGGUAUGGUUAGAGUUCACAUCACGCUGAACCACCUCGUGAUGAUGAACUCCGCUAACGCCAAGGAACGGCUAUGUUUUACAAACUAAUAAUAUGUUUACGUGUAUACGAAAUUUUUAACAACCUUGGUGAACUCGGUUAAAUGCCUCGGCCAAGGUAUUCUCGAGAAUGAUUUUGGCAGGAGCCAAUCUUUUAAGAUACUCAUAAGCCAUGUUGAUUAUUUAAAUGAAAUGAAUAUUUAUGUUAUGAAUUCAUAUUGAGAUGGAAUAUUUUAAUCGUCUCCAUUUACUUGACUUUAGAUAUUUUGGAUGGUGUUUGCUUACUCACUGGGAUUAUAUAAUCUCACCACCCUCCUUUCCACCCAUUUCAGGCUCAAAAUAGGCUGUAGAUAGCUGAUUUCAUCGAGGGCUAUCAUUGGAUUUGCAUCCUCCAAACUGUAGGUUCACAAUCUUUCUUACUUUCGGUUAUU